rnacentral:misc_RNA from 1 species
CGCACAUUGCGCCCCUUGGUAUUCCGGGGGGCAUGCCUGUUCGAGCGUCAUUUCAACCACUCAAGCCCUGCUUGGUAUUGACCGCCGGGGCCCUGUGUUACAACGGGGCCCCCGGUCGAAAAUCGUCGGCGGUGAAACUGGUGUCCACCUCAAGCGUACCAUUUUAGUUUUGCUAAACUAGCUUGUUGGGUCGGGCGGCCGGACCGGCCUCGAAAAACCCCCAUAUUUUCUAAGGUUGACCUCGGAUCAGGUAGGGAUACCCGCUGAACUUAA